rnacentral:rRNA from 1 species
GACGAACGCUGGCGGCGUGCCUAAUACAUGCAAGUUGAGCGCUGAAGGUUGGUACUUGUACCGACUGGAUGAGCCGCGAACGGGUGAGUAACGCGUGGGGAAUCUGCCUUUGAGCGGGGGACAACAUUUGGAAACGAAUUCUAAUACCGCAUAAAAACUUUAAACACAAUUUUUCAGUUUGAAAGAUGCAAUUGCAUCACUCAAAGAUGAUCCCGCGUUGUAUUAGCUAGUUGGUGAGGUAAAGGCUCACCAAGGCGAUGAUACAUAGCCGACCUGAGAGGGUGAUCGGCCACAUUGGGACUGAGACACGGCCCAAACUCCUACGGGAGGCAGCAGUAGGGAAUCGUCGGCAAUGGACGAAAGUCUGACCGAGCAACGCCGCGUGAGUGAAGAAGGUUUUCGGAUCGUAAAACUCUGUUGGUAGAGAAGAACGUUGGUGAGAGUGGAAAGCUCAUCAAGUGACGGUAACUACCCAGAAAGGGACGGCUAACUACGUG